rnacentral:lncRNA from 1 species
UGGGUGUUAUCCUCUUCAUCAAGUUUGGCCAAACCAAAGUCAGAUAUUUUGGGGUUAAGAUCCUUAUCAAGUAGCACAUUUGUGGCCUUGAUGUCUCGGUGGACGAUCUUCAGCCUUGAUUCUUCAUGAAGAUAAGCCAACCCUCUUGCUAUGCCAACACAGAUCCUGUGUCUAGUUGGCCAAUCCAAUUGUAAUUGACAUUCUUCGGGGCCUAAAUCAUCAUAUCAACCAAAAGUUAGAUGUAAGAAGCACAAUCACACAAGUUCAUAUACAUGUAGUUUUAUAGCAGAAGCAAUUGAGUAAAGCACGUAAGCAGAUGUGAAAAAAAACAGACCAAACAAAGCACGAGCGAGGCUGUUAUUUUCCAUGUACUCGUAUAUCAGCAACAACUGAUUUCCUUCUAUACAACAGCCAUAGAGCUUCACAAGAUGAGGAUGUUGAAGAGCAGAAAUCAUGCCUAUCUCAUUCACAAACUCACGGUUUCCUUGUUUUGAUUUGGAAGAAAGCUGCUUCACUGCAAUUAUGGUGCCAUCGGAUAAGACGCCCUGCAUUUUGAGAAAUAAUGUCCUCUCUUCAGUAUAAAGUUUUAUGAGAACAAACUGCUUACCAAACAUCUUAAAUGCAUAAAAUGAGGGAAAACUAAUUCUUGUGCUGAAUACCUUGUAAACAGAACCAAAUCCACCUUCUCCAAUUUUGUUGGCAGCAUCAAAGUUGUUUGUUGCAGCCUUAAUUUGCCUUAAGGUAAACAAGCCAGUCUGCAGAUCUAGACCCUUUAACUCUGUAGAAGAAGCCAAGUUAGAUAAGAAAUAUAUCUAAUAAAAAGUUGCAAUCAUUUCUAAAUUCCUAAUAGUUUGAGAAGGAUUUUGAUGGAUUAUAACUGUAUCUUCUACAUCCAGAGAAAUCAACCCUGAUUAGAUACCAUGUUUUGGCAUGAAUGCCAGCAAACCAAUCCACUGCUACGACAUCAACAAUCAAAUGUUUUGAUAGACAAAUUUUUUCAUAAUCAAUACCUUGUUCCAACGUAUCUUUGCGCCUUAGGCAAUCUCUCCACCAAAGGAUACCUAUAAGCAGGAAGACAAGAAGAAUGACUCCAGCCACAAUGCCAACCACAACGCCAACAGAUAUACUACUGCUUCCAUUUUCGGUAGGAGGUAUAAAAUCUGCAAGAAAAAACAAAGUUAGAACAGAUACACAGAUGGAAUGGAUGCUUUUGGGCAAAUGAUGGCACAAAGAAAAACAAAAUCCAACCAUUAGUGAUGCUGCAAAAAGAGGCUAACAACAAAAAAUAUUUUAUCAACAUUAAUUCUUCAGAGAGUCGAAGCUAAAUAAACAUGAAAAGAUGCUCGAACUGUUGGAAAAUUUCAGAAGAGCACCACAUACAGAGCAAUGAAAUUUCCUGUAAUAUAAGUAGCAUCCAAAUAUAUAUAGAUAUAUCAAAACAUACUUGUGCUAAACCCUUCAAAAAAUAAUGAAUCAUGUCCAUGUUGGUUCCAAGUGACCUAAAGAAAAGAGGAGUUGUGCAGACUGAACCAAAUCACUUAACUAUAAUAAAUGUGUAAUUUGAGAAAAAGUAGAAGAACAAACCCUUUUACAUCCCAACUAUUCAAAAUUGUUGAACUACUAAUUUUCCUAAAAGCUUAACCUUACCCUCCUUUACUACCCGCAUGUGGAGAGACAAAUAGAAUUUGGAUUCAUAUCCAAUGGACAAAGAUAGACAAAAUUUGGAUUUUUAUUCAACAAACAAAUAAAGGAAAUGCAAAUUGCAGAGAGAAGGAUCAAACCCAGGACCUCCCCCCAAACCAAGCUUUGAAAUCAUGUUCAACUACCAAUUUUCCUAAAAGCUUAAGCUUGUAGGAUUUGGGCUCAAUAUGCAUAUCAUGCUUUUUAAUAAAAAUGAUAAAGAAAAUUCAUAAAACAAGCUCAGAAAAUGUGUGACGUACCAGGGUCCACAGAAAUAGCUGAUAUAAGAGGACCAUAAACUCCUCUAACUGGGAUACCUGUAGUCCCUUUCCCAGCCCAAUAGAAGCGAAUUUCCAAGGUAUUAUUAGUCACAACUGCAGUAAAAUAUUUUAAGAUUUCCUUGCUAACACCUCCUGCUUCAUCCUCAAUAUUGAAAUCCUUGAGAACCAACUUAUCCUGCAACAAACCACUCCAAUUACAACUGAAAUUUUCAAGGUGCUAUAAAUUGAAAUGGUGUCCCAAGAUUUCUCUAAAACUUUGUGCAAAAAAGUUGAAUUUUUAUAUAGGUUAAAGUCAAGAACUCAAAAUGGCUUGAAUCCAAAAUGCUAAAGUUUCUUGUACUUUUUAAAAUUAGAACUUUGGUUGGUGAACAUGGAAGUAAUGUGAUUCAUUACCUGAACAUAAACAUCAAACAAACGCCUACCAAGGCUGCUAUAUGUUUUGUCAUCAGUAAAGGUGAUCUCUGCAAAGUGAAGCUUUACUGUGUAGUUUCCAUUUUCCAGACAGAAUCCAUAAUAAGUGAGAGACAGGGCAGAGAGGCGUGCGGUUGUAUACAGUCCAGAAUUUUCCAUGAUGAGUCUAGACACGUUUGUCCCAAUAAAGGAGUCCGUAGGGCGGUCAUCGUCCAUGAAGUGACCUGUGCUGCUGAAUGCCCAGUUUGUUCUACUCUGAUAGAACUUUGAUGGUCCACCAGAAUCUGUGUCAUCUUCAUAUGUGGUAUUUCCAUCAACAAUUACUUCUUUUCCACCACAAUUUAUGUGCAUGGAGUAAAACUCUGGAAAAAAAACCUACAAUAGAUUGGUGAAAUUGAACAAGAAAAGAAAAAGGAUAUUUAGAAAAAGGCACAAGAAAAUACAUCCAUUAACCACCCUUCCCGAACUUUUACUUUAAUCAGCAAACUUGUGACACUGUUUUGGACUGUAUACCAAUCCAUUUUUAAUAGACCAUGUGAUCCAAUGGAAAGAUUUCAACCCCAAAUGCAUUAGCAGUACCCUAAAUGCACAGGGCAAAGCACAAGAAAGGAGAAUGCCUAUCUUGAAGAGAUUUUGAGACACGGUGUGCUGAAAUGUGGGUCGUCUACAAAGCUGGUCUGAUCAGUGUUUUAUCAACACUAGAAGCACAAAUUUUGAGUUGAAGAUUAAUCAGACUCAUCUCAAGUUAUGGAAAGUGAAAUUGAUGACAUUCUAAAAUCCAUUUAUAUUCUUCCAUUAAUUUCAUUCUUUUGUAUUUCUUAAUUAACAAUGUCAAGAUAGCAUAUGAUAUUUAAACUUACUUUUUGGGCAAUUAAAGCUUCUCAAGCACGAGACAAUUCCACUGAGAAAACAACGUAAUGCCCAGCAAAAGUCAGCAUCACAACAUCAUAUUUGAAUAUUACAUGACAAGGAAAGAAUCGUAGUGCUGAAAAAAAUUAUUGGCUUCAGAAAACAUUUAUUUAUUACAAUCCUUAAAAUGGUAAUUAGAAACUCACGAGUUAUUUCCUCCUGAUGAGCUUCCAAACAAAUUUCUGUAGAAAAUAUCACAAUAUUGAAAGUUUAGAUGCUAAACAGAUGAUUUUACACAGCAAAUAAUACAGAAAAGAAAUAUCUUAUGUUAGAUAAGAGUAUUCUUACACACUCCGUUCUUGACAUCCUCUUGAGCUUUCACUAGUAAAGUUAUUGUAUGAAAGAUCACUGCACACAGUAUUCACAGUUUAAUUCAUCAUAGUUUUCCAUGCAGAAUGAACAUCAAGUUAAUAAAUCAUGACUUCACAUGAACAGAAUUGCAUAUAGUAUUUGAUUAUCUGAACCUUAUUUCUAAAUAACCCAAGAGAUGAAGUGUCUUGUGCCAUUAGCCAUGCAACACACAACCAAUAGCUCAGUUGUUCCUUUAGGAGUGGUCCUAAACCACUUUGAGCUAUAGUGCAAAGAACUAUUCCCCCAAGCCUAAAAUACUCUACAAUCCAUCUAUCCAUCCUCACAUAUCACCCUCUUUUUUGUCUAGAAUCCAAGUUAUAUGCAAAAGGGAGCGGAAAUACGACUUAUUGCUUUUGGUGGCAAGAGUUUUCAAUGUGCAACAGCUGUUUGUGUAAAGGAAUGAGGAAAUCGUGUUUUGCAUGAAAAAUUCUGUAGUAUGUCUUCGUACAAAGCAUGAACAGUUUUAAUCAGAUUCCUUAAUAGCACAGAAUAAAAGAACAAUUAUCUCUUCCAAAUUUUAGAACUAACAGAAUGUUUGCUACCCAAAUAUUUGAAAUAUUAAUCGAUAAUCAGAAUUCAUGGCGAAACAUAGAAUCAACAUUCAAAGCCAAAUUUAUUUGCUGUAAGGAUGCAAGUGUAUGCCCAUUAAAACUAAUAAAAAAAAAUAGAAGCAAGAAAGUAAUAAAAGCAAAUUGAUAGUUAACAUGUGAUGAGUAGAAACAAACAAACAUAGCCACAACAAUAUAUAAAGCAUUUGAGAAAAAAAUUUACUAGUUGUCUCCUCUUUUCAGCAUCCAAUCAGGCACGGCUCCAGUUAGCAUGUUUCCGGUAAAAUACCUACAUAACAUUGAGUUGUCCAACUUUAGUAUUGCUCAAGUAGUUUUCUUCACUAGAGUAACAUCUGAAGCAUGAUAGGAAAAACUUACUAGUAAUUCCCCCUUCAAGGACCAAAAUUAGUUUUCAAUCAAUCAGAAUGAAUUCAUCUGUCAAUUGGCUCUUUAUUCAGAAGGCUUUUAAAGCCAACAUAUGUGAUUUAGUCACUCAAUCAAUUUGAUCCUAGGCUCUAAAAUCUCCUGGUUCAUUUAGGCAAUUAACUUGGUCUUUUAGAUUAACCUUUACUUGUAGCACAUUGGACUUCUUUCUUCAUUUAGACCAUUAAACUCAUCUUUCAGAUUCAGUACUGAAGCCCAACCAAUGUGGUUUAGUCUUAAAAUCAAUUCAACUCCACAUCCUCUAAGCUUUCUUGGUUCAUUUAGGCCAUUAUAUUGGUUUUUCAUUUCAAUCUGUUGAUUAUUAGGUAAUUUCACCCCUUGGAAUCAGCUUGAAUAGUUGUCAAAACCUAAAGAAGAAAUUUUUAUAUGAAAAUACACUGCUUACAUGUAAUCUGCAUUUGAUAGACCGACAAAGCUGCUUGGAAUUUCUCCAGUUAGUUUGUUAAAACUCAGAUCUCUGCAAGAGAAUCAUAAACAGAAUGCAUUAAAAAUUGCUCUACCCCGAAAGAGUCGAACACCUGAGAAUGGAAAAACAAUACCAAGAAACCGAAAUGACAUGCUGAAAUGAAUAAAUAUGAAGUUUAUGGAAUUGUGUAUGCAUCAUAACAAUUUCUUAAUAAGGCAAAUGAUACAAAGUAGGAGCUAUGUCUCAAGCUCCUUCCACCACAUAACCGUUUAUGAUUAGCACUUGUCACUGGAUACUGGCAGCUUAUACAUUGACCAUCUGUUUUUCUUCUUGGCUCAAAAUACUACUCUAGAUGCAUUUCAGAUGGUCUAAAUUAUCUGCGAGUAAAGAUUCCCUUUCCACAUUUUGUCCGAUUAAGAAUCUAGAUCCCAGAAAUUAUGACAACUAAACUCAUAAAGCCAUCCACUUCAGAGAGACAAAAUGGCUAUUUAUCAAUUUUUACUUGAUACGUCAUGAAACAUACAUGCUGAAUAGGCAGGUGCAAAUAGCAAUGUGUGAGCCCAUGCAACAAGCAGGCUCCUACUUAGCAGUGAAUAUGACACUCAAAGAAGCAUUUAUGAAGUUAUAGAAAAGCCAGACUACUAGGAGCCUUCUCGACAUGUCUCCAGGGUCUUAUUUUCUAUCUAUUCAUACAAACAAUGCAAGCUGUAAGCAGCUUAUUCAAAAUCCAAAUUAGUCAAAACACAGAGAUGCGGUGACCACUCAAGGAACAUCACAAGCUAUGCAAGAAGUCAUAACAUGAAACAAUCUCUGAAUUAGUAGAAAAACACGUUUCAAAGAAUCUUAACAAUUAGUCUGCAACAGGUAAAGGGGAAAAGAUACUAAAUAUAUACUGACAGGGUUUUCAAUUUUGUCAUUUCCCCAAGGUAAUCAGGUAGCGGGUCAACAAUAUUGCAACUCCUCAAUAUCCUGCAAUCAAAUCAAAUAUAUAUCACCAAAAAUCUCGAAAAUAUGUUCUAUGUACUGUGUAUUAUCAAGGGCAAUCUACUCACAGUGUUUUCAAGUCUCUCAUAUCACUCAAUGGUGGAAAAGUUGCUUCAGUUCCAUUCAGGUCACUGAUUCUCCUGAACAUAGAAAUUUAAUAAAAAAUAAAAAUAUAAUAAUUUCAAUCCAUAUAAAUUAUCAAAGCUAUGGCAUAGGAGAGCUUUACUCACAAGUCAGUUAUUUUUGUCAAAAGGGCAAUGCCAGAAGGAAUCGGCCCACUGAAACCACUCCCUUGAAUCACUCUGUCGGUAGCAAAUUUCAAUUAGAAUAUGUGAUUAUAAAUGAAAUCAUGCCACUCAUACCAACUCAAACAUCAGAUUCAACAAAGCUCUCACAAUUUUUCAAGUUUUGUCCAGUUCUGUAUAAAAUUGGGUAUCUUUCCUGUGAACUGAUUAUCUCCAACCCGACUGCAUUGAAUUAAAACAAAGAUACAAUAGCCCCAAUCUCAGAAUUCAACCAAAAAAAGAUGCUAAUUUAUGCAUACAAAAACCCGAAAAAAGAAAAGACACUUCAAAAUCUUACAAGUCCUUCAAUGUGGUAAGCCCUGCAAAUGUUUGUGGUAACUCCCCAGUGAAGUUGUUUGAGGUAAGAAGUCUUCAACAACGAAAAACACAACCAAACCAAUAAACCCACCAGCGUUAAUAAUAAAAAAAAACGGUAACACCCAUAAUUGGCAAAAUCUACAAACAAAAGGGUCUUACAUUCUCUCUAUACUGGGCAGAUUCCCAAGCUCCUGAGGAAGAACCCCUGAAAGCUGAUUGAACUCCACGGUUCUACGCAUAUCAAAUCCAAAAUUUUUGCAUCAAAAAAAUAAUUCUUAAAAGAUCACACACUGAAAAGGGAAACAAAUGGGUAAUUAGAAAUUCACAGGUUUGCAAGAGUAGAGAUGUUUCCAAGCUCUUUGGGAAUCGAACCCGUUAAUUGGUUUCCGAUCAGAGAACUGCAACAACACCCACAUACCAAAUUAAAAAAAAAUAAAAAAUGAACUGCUUAAAGGUUCAUAUUGAAUAAGCCAUCAAAAUUUCAACCAUAUAUACAUAGAUGGAGAGAAAGCAUACAUGUUUACUAGUUGCAUUGUACCCCAUUCUGGAGGGAUUGAACCGUUGAGGUAGUUGCGGGUGAAGUCACUGUGACGGAGAUGAAUUACAGUUAAGUUAGUUGAAGUCCUAAAUGGGUAAUUGAAGAAAUGGGUGAUGCCAAAAUUGGCAGAAAAAUUAAGUUAGAGAAAUACUCACAUUUCUUGGAGGUAAGGAAGCUUCACCAGCUCUGGUGGGAGAGAUCCCGGGAGAUUCUGAGUCUUGAGGACUCUACAAAGGAUAAAUACUCACGUUAACGGUUAUUAAUUAACUUAUGAUUGAUUUGUAUAUUUUUUAAUUAUUUUUCAAAUAUUCUAUAAAGAAAAAAAAAUUAGACUAGGUUGUUCCUUACAAAUUUUAAGGAAUAAUACAAGAAAAAGUACAAGAAAUAAAAUUUGGAAGAAAAUAAAAAAUUAAUUUAAAAUUAAUAAAUUAUUUUUAUAUAUUACUUCAAAUUUAUUAAGAUAUUUUACCUCUUUUAUAUAAAAGUUAAAUAAUUUUAAAAUAUAUAAAUUUUUAAUUAAUUUUAGUUAUAUUUAAAUUUUUUUAUACUUUUCAUAAAAAACUAAAUAUAAAAAAUAAAUUUUUUUUUGCAUUUAUUUUCUUUCCUUAGCAUUUUUCUCAUACCAAAUACAUUAAUAUUAACGCAUCUUUAUAUUUUUAAAAAUUAAAAACUAUUUUCAAAUAGAUUCUAAAAUUUUAACUUAGUAGAAAGCUUAACUUGAUCCAAAUACAAUUCAAGAAACUAGAUUCAUGGGGUGUUAUUGUUGUGCAUUUGUAUCGGUGUCAAAACGACCCAAUUUUUGGCUCUGGUGCCAAAGCAUUCCAGAGUGGCCUCCUCAGGAUUCGAACUCAAAACCAAGGCCCUUGUGAUUGCCCUCCUGGUACCAUCUAAGCCAAAAAUUGGGUCGUUUUAGCAUCGAUACAAAUGAGUCAAAAAUCGGGUUGCUUUGACACCGAUACAAAUGCACAACAAAAAGGUUAGCCUUUUUUUGCAACAUUUGGGUGUUGCCACCAUUUGUAUUGGUGCCAAAGUGACCCAGAGUGGCCUCCCUAGGAUUCAAACUCAAAACCAAGGCCUUUGUAGUUGCCCUAAUAAGUUAUGUAUACAUUUUUAAGUUUUAUUAUUUAUAUUAUAAUUUUAUAUGUUUAUAUUUAAAUUUCAUUAUAUCUCACUAUACAUAUUCAAUGGCCUUGAUUUAGACCAGGAUACGUAUAGCUUUGCAUUUCCCGUCCGUAUAUAUCCCCAAGGGCCCAACCUCACUUGGCUGCCGACAUAAAAAAGGUGGGCCCAUUGGACCUCAGUUCCUAAUUGGGCCGCCCACAUGAUAAGAUUCUCCUUUCGAGUUUCGUCCUAAGGCUCCUAAGUCCUAACAUCCCAGAAUGGGAUCAGUCUGAAAUUAUUGGACCUGAAGGCCAAUUUAGAAGUCAAAGUCAACACAACAAAUUGGGCCCACCCACCUAACUCAUUAUUAUAAAUAUAUAAAAUUAUAUUAUGGAAAAAUAAAAUAAAAGAGUACUUAAUAUAAUAAAUCCUUAUGAUAUUCAAAUGUCAAUAUUAAAAUGAAAUUUAUUUAUUCACUAAAUAUGGUCAUUGAUAUUACAACCUUCUUUUUAUAUAAGUUAGGUAAAUUAGGGUGGAGAGUGGAAGCCAACUAUUCCAUAUAAAGUCCUUCAAUAAAAUAUUUCACAUUAAUUUAUUUUCACAUAUAACAUAUUCUAAAAUAAUUGGAAUGUGUUUUGGUAUUAAAAAAAAUGAAAAUAGUAUGAACCAAAAAAUACAUAAAUUAUAUUACAUUAAAGUUAUAUUUGUUUCCCAUAAAAUACUAAGAAAAAAAAAGAGAAUCAAAAUGGUUUUUUAUAUUUGAUUUAACCAUAAAAAAUAUAAAUAAAUAAAUAAAUAUAAUUAAAAUUUAUCAAAAUUUUAUAUAUUUUUAAAUUAUCUAGUUUACAUAUAAUAAAAAGAAAUAAAUAAAAUGAGUUUAAAGAAGUAUGUAAAAAUAAUUUAUUAAAUUAAAAAAAAAAUCUUAACUUUUUAUUUCCUUUUACUUUUUUUCUCAAUUUUGUUUCCUCAAAUUUUUUAAGAACCAAAUAUAGGCUAAAACUUUUGUUUUUUAUUUGAAGUUUUAAUAAACUUUGAAAUAUUUUAUUUCUAUUUUUUGAGUUAUAUGGUUCAAAAUUUAUACAAAUUCAGACGUAUUUAGAUUUCAAAUUGAAAAUAAAAACUUUAUUCAUAAUCCGAUGAUUAUUGUUUGUUUUCUUAAUUGAAUUGUAAUUAAACUGACUCAAUCCUUUUAGUAACUAAAAAAAAUUGAGCAAAUAAAUAGAAGUUUAAUUAACUUACAUGCUAACAACGUGGCAAACAGUGUUGUUGGUGCAGCUACAAGUGACAGCAUUUUCCGACCCCUUCACCGGAUUCUUCGUCGCCCAACCCCACUCGCCGCCGCACGGAUCCGCACUGAAGUUCCAGUCCGUCUUCCCCAGAGUUUUCGCGAUCUCUUCCAGAGCUUCCACUGUAAAGUGUAAUAAUAAUAAGAUUGAUUUUUGAGAGUGUAUAUAUAUAUAGAACUAUGAAAAAUGAGGUAGAAUGAAUGGUAGUAUCACCUUCAUUAUUUGGGAGGAGAGUUGCAGAGAAGGUGAGAGUUGUGAAGAAAGCGAAGGCAAUGAGUAAAGAAGAGAGAAGGCUGUUAAUGGAGGGCAUGGUUUUAGGGUUGUUGCAGAGGAGGAGGGCUUGGGGUUUGGAGGAGCACUAGAUGAUGGAUGAAGAGUGAAUGCAUGAUUUGUGGUAGAGGGUCUUUAUCGUGCACGGGAGGAGAGAGAAAAAGAGAAGACUCAGGGCGAAGACUUCGAUACAUCGUUAUAUCGUACCGUACCAUGGUUAUAUCCGUACCAUGGUUAAUGAUUUUACAUUUGAUUAAUCAAAAAGCUUUUUUUUUUCCGCAAGAUAAAGUUUUUCAAAAAAUAAAUAUUUAAAACUUUUUUCAAAUUCAUAUUUAUACUGAAACAAAAACAUAAGUUCAAUGUCUUGAAAUUUUUAUAUGUGAACUUAUAUAAUCAAUAUGAUAAUAUCAUAAAUUAAUGUUAUUUUAUUUUUUGCAUUGUGAUUCAUAAUGUAGUUGAAUGCAUUAUUACUUGAUUUUUUAUGGAUUCAUCUUAAUUCACUUGACUGACUCAUCAUUAAGUCAAGUGAUCUAAAUUUUAUGUGUGUAAUGUGGUAUAUAUGAAUAUAUUUAUUUAUAUAUAUACAUAAAGGAAAAAGAAAGACUUUUGCUCUGUUUUGUUUUUCUCUUGAGGGCUGAAAGGGCACGUACUGCGAACUCGAGCACACACACGGACUGAAUUUUGGUGUAGAAAGGGAAGAGCUCAUUGAACCUGGAUUUUCACACCAUUAUGAACUGAGCGUAUUAUUUGAUACCAGUGGAACACAAAAAUGACUUUUCAUGUGAUUAAUCAAGGUAAACAUUUCAUCAAUUGCCUUUUUACUGUAUGCUUUAAUGUCAACAUGUGAUAUAUCGUUAUAUUGUACCGUAACCAUGGUUAUAUCGUAUUGUACCAUGGUUAAUGAUUUUACAUUUGAUUAAUCAAAAAGCAUUUUUUCCCCCAAAUUUUAAAGAUAAAGGUUUUAAAAAAAAAAAAAAUUUUAAAAACUUUUUUCAAUUCCACAAGUAUGUCUAGACUUCCAUAUUUAUACUAAAACAAAAACACAAUUUAUUUUCUAUCUUAUCAAGGGUGAUCAAUAUAUAUAUAUAUAUAAACACACGAUAUUUAGUAUAUUCUUUUUAUUUUAAAAUUUUAUAAUUAAUUAUAGUAAUAAAAACUGAUAAAAAGAUAAAAUUUAAUAAUUGUUGGAGACAUUAUCAUUUCAUAUUCUUCAAUUAUUUUACCUUCUAAAGUUAAACCCACUAACAUGAACAGCUCAAUUCAUUUAUAUAUUUCUUGGAUUCACCACUGAAAAUACCCCAAAAAAAAAAAAAAAAAUUCACAAGACAACGGAUUUACAGGCCAUGGAUUGCUGGUGACAGCUCAAGUUUGCUUCAUAGUCAACUCAAUACAAUUUUAUUUUAUUUUUCAAUAUAAUAUGGCCAUGUGGUGAAUAUCCUAUGCAGCAAGAAGUUGGUUCUCAUUUUCUAAGACUUUCUCACCAGCCAAACAUUGUGUAAUAUCAAAGGUAUGAAUAAAAAGAAUUUUCUUCUUUCUGAGUUUUUUUUAAAUCCAAGUUGAGGAAGUUGACUUGGGGAAUAAUACCAAGUUGCAAUGCCGUAGCAAAGAAGAUAACAAUUUUGAAAUUAUCGUCUCCUUCAAGUCUUUGUCACCACCAAACCUAUGGAUUUUCAGAUAAAGUUCUGUACUUAUUGAUUAAGUUAAGUCAUGUUGACAAAUUAGUGGUCAUCAAGUACAAGUUCCUUACACUUUCAUAUAGGUUUGUACUUUUUUUUUCUUUCUAAUAAUUAAAAUUAAUUUUUGGAUCAUGGGAAAUUAAAUGGAGGAAAAGGACCAAAAGGCCAAAAAUAAUUUAAAUUUUUUUAUUUAAUUUAUUGUUAAAAAUAUGAAAAAAAAAUCAAAUAAAAUAAUAAAUAGUUAUAUUUUCAAGUACUACAUUUAAAAAGUAUAUGAAAACUUUAAUUUUAUCAUAAGAAAAUGUUAUUUAUUUUAAUUUUUAAGGUGGUAUUUAUAUAUUAGGAAAUCUUUUUCCUUUUUUCUUUUUAAUAAUAUUUAAAACAAGUCCUCUAAAAUCUAGAUUUUUUUCUUUCAUAAAAUUGGAGUGGGUGUAUAAUAUCAUCUUUCCAUGAAAAGGGAUUCAAAGAAGGUGUGUGAACUUUUGUAUUUUAGCUUAAUAGAAUGAAGCAGCCACCCUUUGUUGACGAAGCUAAAUCUUUCUAUUGUAGGCUUCUAGCUAUACAUUAAAAUAUAUAUAUACAUAUAUAAAAGAGAAAAAGUAAUCAAGGGUAAAAAAUGUGUUUAAAAAAUAUUUUUUUUAUUUAAUCAAUUAUAUUACAUUAAAUAUUAAUAUAAUGUAAUAUAUUUAACUAUAUGUUAUAUAAUUAUAAGCUGUUGUGGCUCACUCGGAAGUUUAUGAUAGACUUAUUUACUUAAUAUGACUUAAUAGUUUAAUUUAAAUUAUUAAAUAUAUUAAGUAUAUUAGAAUAAUAGUUUGAUAUCUCCUUCUAACUUGUUUUCAAACUAAGAAACAUAUCCAUUAAUCCAAAAGUCUCUUUGACGAACAAUCUUCAAUGCUUUUAUACAUUUAUAAUACCUGAGGUGUUGUCUAAAUAUAAUUUUACUGAAAAUUAUGACUUUGACUUUAUCUUCGAUUAAAAAACUAUCUCAACUAGGUUAAGAAAAGAGCAUCAAAGCCACAAAAUCUGUAGAGAAACUAAAGAUGCCAAAAACCGAUAAAUGAGCACAAAUGCUUCAUAGAUUGAUGAACAAGCCUUUCUUUCAUACACAACUCAGAAACAUAUAUCCCAAACAUACAUCUUUGAUAAAAUUGAUAACUUUUUUCUGUAAAACCGUAUGGAUUACAGGACAUGAAAAUAUUUACAAAUUCAAAGAAAUACUAUCCACCCACCUACAUAAAUGGUGUCAAAGAAGAACAUAAAGAAGAAUUGAAAACCAACAUUUAAUCUCUGUUCUCCCAAUAUUCAAAAUCCAAGGUGACUGGGUAGAGAUCAGGGAUGGAUAAAGAAGCAGUCCAUGGCCUGUCUGGCAUGCUCUCGCUCACACCCAUGAUCUUUUCUUGGGUGUAGUAAUAAUGCUCCUUCAUCUCCUCGAGCUUUAAGUCAUCACUAGGAACACUGGGAUCAGAAACAAUGUCCUGAACAGUGGUUCUGCCUUCAAGCAUGCUCACAACUGAUGACAUAGCUGGCCUGACUGCUGGAGAGACCUUUGUGCUCAAGAGAGCUAUGUUGAUCAUCGCCAAGACCUCUUCCUUGUUGAAGUCUGAGCCCAAUCUGGGGUCAACUAGAUCCAUCAAAUUCCCCUCCCCUUUUAAUGAGAGUGCCUAGAAAUUAAGAAAGAAAAAGAGAGCUUGUGUUUAAAUCAAGCCAUAUGGACUCAGGUGGUAAGACUCUAUUUGUUUCAACAUAUGCUGAAUGAAGCCAUGGAAAUGUCACAACCACAUUGAAUGAGUUUAAUAUUUGGUAUGUGAUGAAUGGAAUGUGCCCAGCUAGCCUGCUACCCAGAAAGAGGCAUGCUAAUAUAGGGGUUUGCUCACAGUGAUCAAGGAAGGUCCCAAUGACGUCUUAUUGCUAAUACAGUAAUAUCACACAAUUUGUAUAAUUGAAGUCAUUCAGGAUGGGAGCAUAUACUACCUGCUUCUUCGUUUAAGGUUGAAAAGGAAGCAAUGCAUGUAAGUAUUAGUAGUAUUGGGGCAAUUUCGAUUUGUCUGAGAAAAUUUUUGAUCAAGAGAGUCUAUUUGAUUCAUAUAGCAUCAUGAACUAGGAAAAUGGUCCAAGGGAUGCCAUGAAUCAGAAUAUAACUUCAGCCCAAGAUAGGAAAAUGUAGUUGCCAUGAUGUGGUGACUAUAUUUUUAUAUAUAUAAUUCAAGAGCCAUGGUUAGGGAUUCAUGAUUCGGAUCCUAUUCACUUCCACAUUGAUCAGGCUGGGAAAGCAGCCAGUCCUUGGUCGGUUCUAGUUAAGUUGCUUUACUCAACAGAUUGGCAAAAACAGCAGCAUGACCCGCGACUGUUAUGUGGAACUGCCCAUUUCAAAAUGAGGUUAAAGCAUGUCUUUUGGCUAUAGGAAGUGUUAGACAGAACUAGUGUGAGGGGAUAAAUUUAUUCUCUGGGUUCUCAACAGGUUUUACAGCUUGUAGUUUGAAUGAUGAAGCCAUUCAUCCUUGACGAUGCUUCCCGACACAAAUAACAAAUCAUGCUGUUAAGAAUGAGAAAAUUCAGAGAUGACAUAUGCAAGAAAGAAUGUUGUCGAAAUUACCCAAUCAAGAAGAUAGAUGCAUUCCUCUUUUGGCCUAUAAGUAGUGUUUCUUCUUCCACUGACAAUUUCCAAGGCAACAAUUCCAAAACUGUAAACAUCUGCUUUGUCAGUUAAAUAGCCCCGAAAUGCAUAUUCAGGUGCCAUAUAUCCACAGCAAAAUGAGGGUAUGAUUUUACACAAAUUUUCCAUUUGCAUGAAGGAUCAACACUGGUGAUCAAAAGCAAAAAUUUCUAGGAUGUGGUUUCCAAAGUGAUAUCAGUAUCACUGCUUCCUAUUUGAGCUAAACGGAAAGAUAAAUAAUGAUACUGAAAUUAUCACAGCCAUAAAGAUCUGGAUUACCUGAAUUCUGAAAGAGUAAGAAACCAUUGACAUCCAUUCAAAAGAAAGAAAAAGCCCAUUAACUAAAAAUCAGGAGACAGUGACUCACAAUGCACCAGCAUUCCGGGUGCUAAUGUGGGUGUUAUCCUCUUCAUCAAGUUUGGCCAAACCAAAGUCAGAUAUUUUGGGGUUAAGAUUCUUAUCAAGCAGCACAUUUGUGGCCUUGAUGUCUAGGUGGAUGAUCUUCAGCCUUGAUUCUUCAUGAAGAUAAGCCAACACUCUUGCUAUGCCAACACAGAUCCUGUGCCUAGUUGGCCAAUCCAAUUGUAAUUGACAUUCUUCGGGGCCUAAAUCAUCAUAUCAACCAAAAGUUAGAUGUAAGAAGCACUCAAAUCACACAAGUUCAUAUACAUGUAGUUUUAUAGCAGAAGCAAUUGAGCAAGGCACGUAAGCAGAUGUGAAAAAAACAGACCAAACAAAGCACG